rnacentral:rRNA from 1 species
UACGUAGGGUGCAAGCGUUGUCCGGAAUUAUUGGGCGUAAAGAGCUCGUAGGCGGUUUGUCGCGUCGGCUGUGAAAUCCCGAGGCUCAACCUCGGGUCUGCAGUCGAUACGAGCAAACUAGAGUGUUGCAGGGGAGACUGGAAUUCCUGGUGUAGCGGUGAAAUGCGCAGAUAUCAGGAGGAACACCGAUGGCGAAGGCAGGUCUCUGGGCCGAUACUGACGCUGAGGAGCGAAAGCGUGGGGAGCGAACAGG